UGAACGCUGGCGGCGUGCUUAACACAUGCAAGUCGAACGGAGUUUAAAUGGAAGUUUCGGAUGGAAGUUAGAACUAGUGGCGGACGGGUGAGUAACGCGUGGGUAACCUGCCUCAUACAGGGGGAUAACAGUUAGAAAUGACUGACUAACACCGCAUAAUAUAGCGAAACCGCAUGAUUUUGCUAUCAAAUAUUUAUAGGUAUGAGAUGGGCCCGCGUCUGAUUAGCUAGUUGGUGGGGUAAAAGCCUACCAAGGCGACGAUCAGUAGCCGGCUUGAGAGAGUGACCGGCCACAUUGGGACUGAGACACGGCCCAAACUCCUACGGGAGGCAGCAGUGGGGAAUAUUGGACAAUGGGGGAAACCCUGAUCCAGCGACGCCCGCGUGAGUGAAGAAGUAUUUCGGUAUGUAAAGCUCUAUCAGCAGGGAAGAUAAUGACAGUACCUGACUAAGAAGCCCCGGCUAACUACGUGCCAGCAGCAGC
rnacentral:rRNA from 1 species